UUGUCUGCGUGGUACAGCGUUUGAAGGCGGAUUGGGUUGCUCUGUGUGGCUCUGCCUUUGCUCUGUUCCUUACUACACAAAAAACAAUGGUGAAAUCAUUUUAAUUGUUGCCCAACUGAAAUCUCUCUCUCUCGCUCGCUCGCUCUCUCUAGAAAAGAAGAAUCCUGAAACGAACCUUUGAGAUGCCCAUUCUCCAAUCCGGCCACAAGCUUGAUGUGCUCUGCCACCAAUCGUGCUAUAGGAACAAGCCAUCGAAGGAUCUUAUCCAUUUCAACUUUGACACCAAGAUAAGUUGGCUGCAGAAAGACACGAUUAUUGUUUAUGAAUUAGUAGAACUCUCAUGAGGCCCACAGGUUUUCAAGUUGAAAACUUCAGUCAAAGACAGAGAAAAGUAAUACCUCCUCCUCACUGGCAUCCACAACCUGCAAUCGAGAGCGCAGAGCUGUUUUAACACUUGUUGGCAGCGCCCUGUAUAAUGCAUCCCUCAUAUUGGAAGGAAUGGAGGUUGGGCGACAUGCCUUUCAAAAAAAACAGCCUUUCUAAGUAACAAGGAUCAAAUUUGAGAGUAGUUCACGAGAAGAAGAACUCACUCAUAAGGAUCGGGUAAUCAUUCGAAUUAAGAACAUAAGCCCGCUACUUUUUAUUUCUCUAUCCUUUUAUUCAUUCGACCCACCCCACUUGACUUCUUUUUUAUUCAGCAUCAAGAAUUCAAACUUCAAACAAGGUUGCCAUUACAGUAAGAGUUUAAGAUAAAUGAUUGGAUGGAAGAAUGAAGAACAAGCAAGAAAGUCGGAUGACUGGACAAUUCCAGGCAGGCACCUGUGUUCUUGUCUCCAAAUGCUUUGGCUAUUGCUUGAUUUAUCCAUGUUACAACCGCGACGAGCUUUUCCACAAUCUGUGAACAAAAGUUGGUUAGUUCUUAUCACUUAGAAAAAUCUGGAGUCAUUCAGAAGUAAAUACCUCGUCUAAAUUUCUGGACCAAAGGCCUUUGAUUUGAAAGCUCCUUACGAGUUUUCUUUGUACGUUUAAUUCUCCUUGGAAUAUUGAGAGACUUUCUCCUACAUUUAGAUUAAAA